rnacentral:rRNA from 1 species
AUACGGAGGGUGCAAGCGUUAUCCGGAAUCAUUGGGUUUAAAGGGUCCGUAGGCGGGCAAUUAAGUCAGAGGUGAAAUCCCACAGCUCAACUGUGGAACUGCCUUUGAUACUGGUUGUCUUGAAUUAUAGUGAAGUAGAUAGAAUGUGUAGUGUAGCGGUGAAAUGCAUAGAUAUUACACAGAAUACCGAUUGCGAAGGCAGUCUACUAACUAUAUUUUGACGCUGAUGGACGAAAGCGUGGGGAGCGAACAGGAUUAGAUACCCUAGUAGUCC